AACGAACGCUGGCGGCGCGUCUUAAGCAUGCAAGUCGAACGGCAAGAUUGGUGCUUGCACCGAUCCUAGAGUGGCGGACUGGUGAGUAACGCGUGGGUGACGUACUCUAAGGAUGGGGAUAGCUGGUAGAAAUAUCAGAUAAUACCGAAUAUCCUUAUUGUUGUUAGAGGACAGUAAGGAAAGGAGCUUUGGCUUCGCCUAAGGAGCGGCCCGCGUAUUAUUAGCUAGUUGGUGGGGUAACGGCUCACGAAGGCGACGAUAGUUAUCCGGCCUAAGAGGGUGAAAGGACACAUUGGGACUGAGAUACGGCCCAGACUCCUACGGGAGGCAGCAGCUAAGAAUAUUCCGCAAUGGAGGAAACUCUGACGGAGCGACGCCGCGUGGAUGAUGAAGGCCGGAAGGUUGUAAAAUCCUUUUAAGCAAGAAGAAUAAACUUUACAGGGAAUGGUAGAGUGGUGACGGUAUUGCUUGAAUAAGCAACGGCUAAUUACGUGCCAGCAGCCGCGGUAAAAC
rnacentral:rRNA from 1 species